UACGAGGGGGGCGAGCGUUGUUCGGAAUUAUUGGGCGUAAAGGGUGCGUAGGCGGUUUGGUAAGUCUCGUGUGAAAUCUCCGGGCUCAACUCGGAGCCUGCACGAGAAACUGCCGGGCUUGAGUGUGGGAGAGGUGAGUGGAAUUCCUGGUGUAGCGGUGAAAUGCGUAGAUAUUCGCAAGAACACCAGUGGCGAAGGCGGCUCACUGGCCCGAUACUGACGCUGAGGCACGAAAGCGUGGGGAGCAAACAGG
rnacentral:rRNA from 1 species